rnacentral:lncRNA from 1 species
GGUUGAGCCGCUGUGAGGAGCACUUUCUUGAAGCUGUUGUUCUUGUCAGCUUUGCAGUGAAAAUGUCUACUGUUCAGUUUUUGAGACCUUUUAUCACCGAGCGGCUAACUACUGCUGCUACAGAAAUACUCGGAGUCAUUGAACAAACUUUCGUCCAGUACGAAGAAGAGAUCGAGCGUCAGCGCAAACUGCUGGAUAUCUACAUGAAACCCGAGACAAAGGUACACGGAACAGAUCUCCCUCAAGUGAAGGAGGCUCUGGCUCACCAGCAGAGGAACUCCAGUCCGGACCAGGAGGAAACAAAACCUCCACAGAUUAAAGAGGAAGAGGAGAUGCUCUGGACCAGUCAUGGAGAGCAGCUUGUACAGAAACAGGAGACUGAUUUCUCUAUAGUGACUUAUGAUGAAAAUGACCACAGAGAACCAGCACCAAACACUGAUGUCCUCCUCUCCUAUAACUCUCCUGACAGAGAUCUUCUUCAACAUGAAGGUAAAGAGGAGGGGUUUCUGGCUGACCGGCAGCUCUGUAAUGAGCAGAGGAACUCCAGUCGGGACCAGGUGGAACCAAAACCUCCACAGAUUUAUGAGAAACUCUGCACCAAUCAAGAGGGAGAGCAGCUUGUACAGAAGCAGGAGACUGAUCCCUUAAUGACUACUAUGGGCCAGCUGCAGCUCUGUGGCGAGAAGAGGGACUCCAGUCAGGACCAGGAGGAAACAAAUCAUCCACAGAUUCAGGAGGAAGAGAAGAAAUUCUGCACUAAUCAUGAAACAGAAC